GGAUCCGUGGCGCAAUGGUAGCGAGCGCGUCUGACUCCAGAUCAGAAGGUUGCGUGUUCGAUUCACGUCGGGUUUCA